rnacentral:rRNA from 1 species
CCUACGGGUGGCAGCAGUGGGGAAUAUUGCGCACUGGGGGCAACCCUGACGCAGCAACGCCGCGUGAUUGAAGAAGGCUUUCGGGUUGUACACUUCUUUUAUCAGGGACGAGGCACGUGACGGUACCUGAUGACUAAGCCACGGCUAACUACGUGCCAGCAGCCGCGGUAAUACGUAGGUGGCAAGCGUUAUCCGGAUUUACUGGGUGUAAAGGGCGUGUAGGCGGGAGUGCAAGUCAGAUGUGAAAACUAUGGGCUCAACCCAUAGCCUGCAUUUGAAACUGUACUUCUUGAGUGCUGGAGAGGCAAUCGGAAUUCCGUGUGUAGCGGUGAAAUGCGUAGAUAUACGGAGGAACACCAGUGGCGAAGGCGGAUUGCUGGACAGUAACGGACGCUGAGGCGCGAAAGCGUGGGGAGCAAACAGGAUUAGAUACCCGAGUAGUC